rnacentral:rRNA from 1 species
GACGAACGCUGGCGGCGUGCUUAACACAUGCAAGUCGAACGGAAAGGCCCUGCUUUUGUGGGGUGCUCGAGUGGCGAACGGGUGAGUAACACGUGAGUAACCUGCCCUUGACUUUGGGAUAACUUCAGGAAACUGGGGCUAAUACCGGAUAGGAGCUCCUGCUGCAUGGUGGGGGUUGGAAAGUUUCGGCGGUUGGGGAUGGGCUCGCGGCUUAUCAGCUUGUUGGUGGGGUAGUGGCUUACCAAGGCUUUGAAGGGUAGCCGGCCUGAGAGGGUGACCGGCCACAUUGGGACUGAGAUACGGCCCAGACUCCUACGGGAGGCAGCAGUGGGGAAUAUUGCACAAUGGGCGGAAGCCUGAUGCAGCAACGCCGCGUGCGGGAUGACGGCCUUCGGGUUGUAAACCGCUUUCGCCUGUGACGAAGCGUGAGUGACGGUAAUGGGUAAAGAAGCACCGGCUAACUACGUG